rnacentral:rRNA from 1 species
UACGGGGGGGGCAAGCGUUGUUCGGAAUUACUGGGCGUAAAGGGCUCGUAGGCGGCCAACUAAGUCGGACGUGAAAUCCCCAGGCUCAACCUGGGAACUGCGUCUGAUACUGGAUGGCUUGAAUCCGGGAGAGGGAUGCAGAAUUCCAGGUGUAGCGGUGAAAUGCGUAGAUAUUCGCAAGAACACCAGUGGCGAAGGCGGCUCACUGGCCCGAUACUGACGCUGAGGCACGAAAGCGUGGGGAGCAAACAGG